rnacentral:rRNA from 1 species
CGCUUAGGGAGCUAGCACGAUCAGAUACCUUGUCGUGCACGCCGAAAACGAAGAAUGUUUAGCUGUUGUUGUGUUUACUGUUCGGUGGCGCAGGUAACGCAUUAGACAUUCCGCCUGCGGAGUGAGGUCGCAAGAGUAAAACUCAAAGGAAUGGGCGGGGGCCCGCACAAGCGGUAGAGCAUGAGGUUUAAUUCGAAGCAUCGCGCAGAACCUUACCAGCCCUUACAUCCCGAUCGCGGGUAGUGGAGACAGAUCCUUCAGUUUGGCUGGAUCGGAGACAGGUGCUGCAUGGCUGUCGUCAGUUAGUGUCGUGAGAUGUUGGGUUAAGUCCCGCAACGAGCGCAACCCUCGCCCUUAGUUGCCAGCAAUGAGUUGGGCACUCUAAGGGGACUGCCGGUGAUAAGCCGAGAGGAAGGUGGGGAUGACGUCAAGUCCUCAUGGCCCUUACGGGCUGGGCUACACACGUGCUACAAUGGUGGUGACAGUGGGCAGCGAGCACGCGAGUGUGAGCUAAUCUCCAAAAGCCAUCUCAGUUCGGAUUGCACUCUGCAACUCGAGUGCAUGAAGUUGGAAUCGUUAGUAAUGGUGGAUCAUCAUGAAGU